rfam:Physcomitrella patens subsp. patens PHYPAscaffold_43 genomic scaffold, whole genome shotgun sequence.
GUCGACGCCCUGCAAUUCAAGCAGACUCGAUUACAAUGUUUGCCGCCGACGUCACGCAUGUCACGUGGUUAUUUGUACUUCAGUCUGGUUGGAUUGUAGGCCUCCGCAA